rnacentral:rRNA from 1 species
GUUAUCACUCUUGGGAUGGGACCUGCGGUGCAUUAGCUAGUUGGUAAGGGCAACGGGCUUACCAAGGCAAUGAUGCAUAGCCGAGUUGAGAGACUGAUCGGCCACAUUGGGACUGAGACACGGCCCAAACUCCUACGGGAGGCAGCAGUAGGGGAAUCUUCCACAAUGGACACAAGUCUGAUGGAGCAAACGCCGCGUGAGUGAAGAAGGGUUUCGGCUCGUAAAGCUCUGUUGGUAGUGAAGAAAGAUAGAGGUAGUAACUGGCCCUUUAUUUGACGGUAAUUACUUAGAAAAGUCACGGGCCAAUUACGUGCCAGCAGCCGCGGGUAAAUA